UUAUUCCCUGACGAGGGGAACCGUGCUGGUUUCGACCUCGGUAAUAGGUCCAUAUAUGAGAAGAACCUAUCACCGGGUGGAAACUGGUACGGGUCCCCGAGUCAGUC
rfam:Caenorhabditis remanei strain PB4641 contig93.6, whole genome shotgun sequence.